CCUCCAGUAGCACCUUAGAGACCAACUAAGUUUGUUACUGGUAUGAGCUUUCGUGUGUAUGCACACUUCUUCACACGGAAGCUCAUAUGAAUAACAAACUUAGUUGGUCUCUAAGGUGCUACUGGAAG